rnacentral:lncRNA from 1 species
UUUUUCCUUCAUCCACAAAAAACAUACAGUGACCCAAAGGUCAUGUCAGCGAUAUUGUACUUCUGGACGAAGCUGUCUAUUGGUGUGUCCCACUUACUUGCAGGGGUGACUGGCAUACCUUCCGUGUAGAACUACACAACCCUUCCAGAUGUACACCAGCCCUGCAGGAACAGACAAGUCAUGAUGAAGAAUCCAAAAUCUUACUGGUGCCCACUAUCCAGUGCAAGUAUCAAAGUUUUGGCCAGGAACGCCCUAGGUGUGGAGAUAGUAAAUGAUAAUUCCUGCAUGAACCUGUGAGGGCCUGGUUCUUUGGAAGGAGGUUUCAAGCACCCCUAGGAAAAAAAUCAGAGAAAACAGCUUGAUGUCUCCAGCAGAAAGAUUUGUUUUGCAGUCCCUUUAUCUGAAAUGUGCCUACAAUUACACCUAGCCUAACAGAAAAGCUCUGAGGCUUGAUUAGUGUGUGCAAAGCCCAUCAGUGUGUACAUGGUGAAGUCUAUAGCACUGAGAAAGGGAGGAAUGAGGUGGCCCAAUAACUCUGCGGUGAGUCACUAGUGUUACUUAAUCUAUAGUACAGCUGUGGCACACAGAAUGCUCA